rnacentral:tRNA from 1 species
ACCUGGUUGGCUUAGUCGGUAGAGCAUGCGACUCUUGAUCUCAGGGUUAUGAGUUCAAGUCCCAUGUUGGGUA